rnacentral:siRNA from 1 species
UUUAUAUCUCAGUGUGCUUCCA